rnacentral:rRNA from 1 species
UACGUAGGGGGCAAGCGUUGUCCGGAUUCAUUGGGCGUAAAGAGCGUGUAGGCGGCCAGGUAGGUCGGUUGUGAAAACUGGAGGCUCAACCUUCAGAGGUCGACCGAAACCAUCUGACUAGAGUCCGGUAGGGGAGCGUGGAAUUCCUGGUGUAGCGGUGAAAUGCGCAGAUAUCAGGAGGAACACCAGCGGCGAAGGCGGCGCUCUGGGCCGGUACUGACACUGAGGAGCGAAAGCGUGGGUAGCAAACAGG